AGAUCAACAUCAACAAUCUAUAACACCAAUCAACAUCAACUGUUUGAGUGUUUGGUUAUAGGUACUAACUAAAUGCCUAUUUUUGAGAAAACUAUGCAACAAAUCAUGAACUAAUUAGCCACUGGCCUAACCUAGUAUUUGUUAACAAGGUUGUCAUCCUAGACGUUGGGAGUUUGAUCCCAGCUAAUGCUUUAACAAAAAGGGCUCAUGCCCCAGGUUUCUUAGAAAUCAAAAUAGUAUAUGUAUUAAGGGGUUUUGGUGUGGAGGCCUACGGAUGAAAUAUUUUGAUUAAACAACUUUAAAAAAAUCAUAAAAGUUAUUGAUAAAGAGAAGAAACAAGCAUAAGGAUCAUGACAGCAAUGGUCAAAGAACCAACUACUGCACAAAAGAAGUUGACUUAGGGACGAAACUCCUAUAAACUUUGCCUUACCCAAUUAAUACAAGAACAAGAAAGCAAAGGCACAUAUGAAAAAUAUAGCAAAGGAUGGAAAAGAACAUACUAACAAAACUUUAUUUAUAUCAACAAGGAAUAAGGAACAAUAAUGCUACCACAAUGCUAAAACAAAAUAGUUACUAUUGGCAUCUUAAUAGUUCACACUCAUCAAACUGUCUUACUUGCAGCUAUACAAUCAUAUUCUCUUAGUAAAAACUAAUGAUUAAACACAAAACUGUCAAGAGACAAAGCAAGCUUAUUCAUCAUCGAUCAUGCAAACGCCUAAUGAACAAUUUUUCACACAAAAGCCAAGUAGACUGUUUAUAACAGAACACUAAUGAAUACAGAAAAUGAAACUAAAAAUCAUUCUUUGUUCGCAUCAUGACUCUUUUUAUGUAUGCAUUCAUGAUUAAAAAUUUAAAAAUUACUUAAACCAACCUAUGCAAUAAAACAACUCUCAUUGAAUCACAUAUAAAGACGGCAUAGAUUAACUUACAUUUUUCAUGUAGAUGUUGAUUGCGUCGGUAUAGGCAUUCCCAUUUGUGCUAAAUGUCGCAUCAUGGCUUGCAUUUGAGACUCCAUAUGCUCUAAUCGAGCUUCUCUUUGUGCUAGUCUAACUUCUGCGUCGGCCUCACGUUGUGCUAUUCGGGCUUGUACCUCGGCCUCUUUUUCUGCCAUUCGAGCUUCUACUUCUGCUUGAAUUCGAACUGUCAUUUCAGCCUCUAUAUCUUCCCGUAUUUGCUCACGAAGUCGUUGUCCUCUAACUCCUCCUCUCUCCAAAGGCUCUAGACCUGGACCCAUACCCCUAACAUAUCCAGACCUAUGUUUAAGUACUAUAGUAUAGGCUUCCCGAGUUGUAAGAAUGU
rnacentral:lncRNA from 1 species